rnacentral:rRNA from 1 species
GGGCCCGCACAAGCGGUGGAGCAUGUGGUUUAAUUCGACGCAACGCGCAGAACCUUACCAGCCCUUGACAUGGGGGUCGCGGAUAGCAGAGAUGCUUUCUUUCAGUUCGGCUGGACCCCACACAGGUGCUGCAUGGCUGUCGUCAGCUCGUGUCGUGAGAUGUUGGGUUAAGUCCCGCAACGAGCGCAACCCUCGCCCUUAGUUGCCAUCGGUUCGGCCGGGCACUCUAGGGGAACUGCCGGUGACAAGCCGGAGGAAGGCGGGGAUGACGUCAAGUCCUCAUGGCCCUUACGGGCUGGGCUACACACGUGCUACAAUGGCGGUGACAGUGGGCGGCGACCUCGCGAGAGUGAGCCAAUCCCCAAAAACCGUCUCAGUUCGGAUUGCACUCUGCAACUCGAGUGCAUGAAGUUGGAAUCGCUAGUAA